GCCAGGUGUGGUGGUGCACGCCUGUAAUCCCAGCUACUCGGGAGGCUGAGGCAGGAGAAUCACUUGAACCUGGGAGGCAGAGGUCGCAGUGAGCCAAGAUCGUGCCACUGCACUCCAGCCUGGGCAACAGAGUGAGACUCUGUCUCAA
rnacentral:SRP_RNA from 2 species